AGGUAAGCUACUAAGAGCGAAUGGUGGAUGCCUUGACUGGUAAAGGCGAUGAAGGACGUACUAGACUGCGAUAAGCUACGGGGAGCUGUCAAGAAGCUUUGAUCCGUAGAUUUCCGAAUGGGGCAACCCAAUGUAUAGAGAUAUACAUUACCUAUAUAGGAGCGAACGAGGGGAAUUGAAACAUCUUAGUACCCUCAGGAAAAGAAAUCAAUAGAGAUUGCGUCAGUAGCGGCGAGCGAAAGCGCAAGAGGGCAAACCCAGUGCUUGCACUGGGGGUUGUAGGACUGCAAUGUGCAAGAGGUGAGUUUAGCAGAACAUUCUGGAAAGUAUAGCCAUAGAGGGUGAUAGUCCCGUAUGCGAAAAACAAACCUUAGCUAGCAGUAUCCUGAGUAGGGCGGGACACGAGAAAUCCUGUCUGAAGCUGGGUCGACCACGAUCCAACCCUAAAUACUAAUACCAGAUCGAUAGUGCACAAGUACCGUGAGGGAAAGGUGAAAAGAACUGAGGUGAUCAGAGUGAAAUAGAACCUGAAACCAUUUGCUUACAAUCAUUCAGAGCCCUAUGUAGCAAUACAGGGUGAUGGACUGCCUUUUGCAUAAUGAGCCUGCGAGUUGUGGUGUCUGGCAAGGUUAAGCAAACGCGAAGCCGUAGCGAAAGCGAGUCUGAAUAGGGCGCUUAGUCAGAUGCUGCAGACCCGAAACGAAGUGAUCUAUCCAUGAGCAAGUUGAAGCUAGUGUAAGAACUAGUGGAGGACUGAACCCAUAGGCGUUGAAAAGCCCCGGGAUGACUUGUGGAUAGGGGUGAAAGGCCAAUCAAACUUCGUGAUAGCUGGUUCUCUCCGAAAUAUAUUUAGGUAUAGCGUUGUGUCGUAAUAUAAGGGGGUAGAGCACUGAAUGGGCUAGGGCAUACACCAAUGUACCAAACCCUAUCAAACUCCGAAUACCUUAUAUGUAAUCACAGCAGUCAGGCGGCGAGUGAUAAAAUCCGUCGUCAAGAGGGAAACAACCCAGACUACCAGCUAAGGUCCCUAAAUCUUACUUAAGUGGAAAACGAUGUGAAGUUACUUAAACAACCAGGAGGUUGGCUUAGAAGCAGCCAUCCUUUAAAGAAAGCGUAAUAGCUCACUGGUCUAGUGAUUUUGCGCGGAAAAUAUAACGGGGCUAAAGUAAGUACCGAAGCUGUAGACUUGCGCACAACUUAGAUUAUUUAAGUUUAGAAUAUGAGAAACUAAGUUAUAUGUUUAGUUAUAUUUUUACUGAUUUUUAUAGAGUAAAGAUAGAAAUAAAACUUAGUAAAAUCAGUAAAAAUAUUCUUAGACUAAAGUUAAGUAGUUUAAGUUGUGUGCAAGUGGUAGGAGAGCGUUCUAUUUGCGUCGAAGGUAUACCGGUAAGGAGUGCUGGAGCGAAUAGAAGUGAGCAUGCAGGCAUGAGUAGCGAUAAUUAAUGUGAGAAUCAUUAACGCCGUAAACCCAAGGUUUCCUACGCGAUGCUCGUCAUCGUAGGGUUAGUCGGGUCCUAAGUCGAGUCCGAAAGGGGUAGACGAUGGCAAAUUGGUUAAUAUUCCAAUACCAACAUUAGUGUGCGAUGGAAGGACGCUUAGGGCUAAGGGGGCUAGCGGAUGGAAGUGCUAGUCUAAGGUCGUAGGAGGUUAUACAGGCAAAUCCGUAUAACAAUACUCCGAGAACUGAAAGGCUUUUUGAAGUCUUCGGAUGGAUAGAAGAACCCCUGAUGCCGUCGAGCCAAGAAAAGUUUCUAAGUUUAGCUAAUGUUGCCCGUACCGUAAACCGACACAGGUGGGUGGGAUGAGUAUUCUAAGGCGCGUGGAAGAACUCUCUUUAAGGAACUCUGCAAAAUAGCACCGUAUCUUCGGUAUAAGGUGUGGUUCGCUUCGUAUUAGGAUUUACUCCGAAAGCGAAGAAACUUACAACAAAGAGUCCCUCCCGACUGUUUACCAAAAACACAGCACUCUGCUAACUCGUAAGAGGAUGUAUAGGGUGUGACGCCUGCCCGGUGCUCGAAGGUUAAUUGAUGGGGUUAGCAUUAGCGAAGCUCUUGAUCGAAGCCCGAGUAAACGGCGGCCGUAACUAUAACGGUCCUAAGGUAGCGAAAUUCCUUGUCGGUUAAAUACCGACCUGCAUGAAUGGCGUAACGAGAUGGGAGCUGUCUCAAAGAGGGAUCCAGUGAAAUUGUAGUGGAGGUGAAAAUUCCUCCUACCCGCGGCAAGACGGAAAGACCCCGUGGACCUUUACUACAGCUUGACACUGCUAUUUGGAUAAGAAUGUGCAGGAUAGGUGGGAGGCUUUGAGUAUAUGACGCCAGUUGUAUAUGAGCCAUUGUUGAGAUACCACUCUUUCUUAUUUGGGUAGCUAACCAGCUUGAGUUAUCCUCAAGUGGGACAAUGUCUGGUGGGUAGUUUGACUGGGGCGGUCGCCUCCCAAAUAAUAACGGAGGCUUACAAAGGUUGGCUCAGAACGGUUGGAAAUCGUUCGUAGAGUAUAAAGGUAUAAGCCAGCUUAACUGCAAGACAUACAAGUCAAGCAGAGACGAAAGUCGGUCUUAGUGAUCCGGUGGUUCUGUGUGGAAGGGCCAUCGCUCAAAGGAUAAAAGGUACCCCGGGGAUAACAGGCUGAUCUCCCCCAAGAGCUCACAUCGACGGGGAGGUUUGGCACCU
rnacentral:rRNA from 1 species